GGAAACAGCCAAGUGAUCAAUAGGUAGACGGCAGAGAGCCACCGGGCCUAAGUCCGGGGGCUUGAAGUAGAUCACGGUAUUUUCCUCUCCACGCGUUAGAUACAAUUCCCUCCCUUAAGCUUCAUAGUUUACCAUACCGAAACAUGCCUACUUUAACAAUAAAGUGAGUUAAAAGCAACCCGGGAUUGGACAAAUUUCUUCAAGAAUAACGCAAUACCCUUCAAGCCCUAGAAGGGGGUGUUGGCUUGGGGAGGGGCUGGAGUCCUGAGGGCCCUCAACAAAAGCUCAAGUGUAAGAGGGCGGACUGCUCUGGAACCUGAGAGACUCUUCAAACCUGACCUCAGUCCACCACGGAGCAACAGGAGACUUAAAUAAAGGAACACUUUGAGCUACUGGGCGGACUAACUCCUUGACUGAAGGAGGUGAGGCUGCCGUGUCUGUGGAGGAAGUUUUGAUGUUCGCAACUGGACUGAAUUCACUUCCCCCAUCUGAAUUGGAACCAUCACCAAGAAUAGAGUUCCUGGAUGACUCUCCAUUCCCAAUGGCAAAUACAUGUUGUGAGGGACAAGCGUGGUCGCUCCACGUAUCUGGGAUACGUCCAACCAGAUUCAGAGAGUGUAGGCAAAAACUAGGGUAAUUGUCGCAGGACAAGAAAAGUGAAGCUUUAUUUUCUCUCUUGUACUGGCCUCCCAUCAAGCCAGCACCACCUUCAGCCCCCAAACACCAAAUGAGGCAGCCCUUAAAUAGGGGAAUGAUUGGACCAAUCAAGGCCGUAUGGGCCAGACCACUAGUUGGGGGAACAUUCUUUAGCUAGAGCUACCAAUCCUACAUAACUGAACAGAAAGUACAUCGUGUGAAUACAAAAUAAACAUGACACUAAAUAAACAAUCACCAAAUACAUAUAUACCCACACCUUGUGCACAACCUAUAGAUAUUUACAAAACAGCUGUUUUUAUCAACACCCCCUGGGCCAUUCCCUGAUGCCAUGAUCCUGAGCUUCCCUUACCACACUGCCCCCUACCGUGGCGGAAGCCCAAUUUCCCACAUCCCAAUUAUAUAUAUAUAUACACACAUAUAAUAAUAAUUUCUCUAAUGCAAGACUGAGAAGGGGAAGGAUUUCACCUUCUCACACAUGUUCAAACACAUUGAAAUUACCACUCCUAGACAUGUACACUGUGUUUAAGACAAAAAAAAAUGGACAUUGGACUUCAAAAUUCUCCAGGAUUUGGAUGUUUUUAAGCCCUGAGAUGACCCCUAGGGACGCUGAAAAGGUUGUUCUUUGUUGUUAUCAAAGGUUAAGAAUCUUUAUAAUGUAAAGAUACAAGUGUUUUCUCUCACAGUUAACAUUUUAGCCAUUCUAUGUCAGACAAAAUAAACAAGGCCAAG
ensembl:lncRNA